UACGUAGGAGACGAGCGUUGUCCGGAGUUAUUGGGCGUAAAGAGCUCGUAGGCGGCUCGUUGCGUCGGCUGUGAAAACCCGCAGCUCAACUGUGGGCUUGCAGCCGAUACGGGCGGGCUGGGAUUCGGUAGGGGAGACUGGAAUUCCUGGUGUAGCGGUGAAAUGCGCAGAUAUCAGGAGGAACACCGGUAGCGAAGGCGGGUCUCUGGGCCGAUAUCGACGCUGAGGAGCGAAAGCGUGGGGAGCGAACAGG
rnacentral:rRNA from 1 species